GGCAGCAGAGUUCAUCAUGUAUAAAAGCAGGUGCAACCAGGCCACAGUCAGACGUUUUCCUCAAUUCUCACUGGAUAGCAUCAACACCCCAAAGAGAAGCCAUGAAGCCAAUGAUCGUGCUGUACGUUGUGCUGAUGAUCAUUGCACUGGCGUGCAAUGCUUAUGCUGCAUGUGAGAAUGGAAGAUGUGCCAAGAAAUGUAGUCGUAAUGAAUAUAAAGACAAUUCAUACUGUGGGGGUGGAAAUAUAUGCUGUGUUGAAAGAGGCUCGUGAAGAACAUCCGUGAAGGAAGACGUGGAUCAAGCAACAUGCAUUAUUGUUUUUUUUCCUUCUUUCAUGAUUUGCGUUUACGCCAGUUUGAAUAAAAUCAAAUAUCACAA